GACUUCGUAGCUCAGAUGGUAGAGCAGUGGCCUGAAGAGCCGCGCGUCGAGGUCUCGAAAGCCUCCGAAGUCACCA
rnacentral:tRNA from 1 species